AGCUCUUUGGCAUCAACUCAACUCGCCGUGUUUGGAGGAGGAGGAAUGCUGCCUAUGACCCCAAGAACACC